rnacentral:tRNA from 1 species
GUUUUAAUAAUUUAAUUCAAAAUAUUGGUCUUGUAAACCAAAAAUAAGAUACUCUUUUAAAACU